rnacentral:rRNA from 1 species
UACGGAGGGUGCGAGCGUUGUCCGGAAUCACUGGGCGUAAAGGGCGCGUAGGCGGCGCGGAAAGUCAACGGUGAAAGCUUGGGGCUCAACCCCGAGUCGGCCGUCGAUACUUCCGUGCUCGAGCACUGUAGAGGCAGGUGGAAUUCCGGGUGUAGCGGUGGAAUGCGUAGAGAUCCGGAAGAACACCGGUGGCGAAGGCGGCCUGACUGGGCCAGUAGCUGACGCUGAUGCGCGACAGCGUGGGGAGCAAACAGG